GAGCUGGUUAUGGGUGAGGAGGUUGUGAAGCUUGUGAAGGAUAGGGUAAGCGGUGCUAGCGAGAACGAUCUUGAGCUGGGGAUGAGGAAGAAUUGAUUCUCAGUGGUUUUCCGACGGCUAUUCAUUACUAAGACGGCUUGUUUUACCCCUUUUAUACUGUAAACCUCAGUCGAUUCUUGAUUCUUUUACUGAAAUAAGAGUUUUUUCUAUGUCAUGGGGUUCGAAUUAGAAUGUUGGACUAUUGUAAGUUUAACUUAAAA
rnacentral:misc_RNA from 1 species